rnacentral:lncRNA from 1 species
GCCUUUCCACGUUGCACAAGCCCAGCACAGGGUACCCACUGGAUGUGCCCGAGGCCUCCAGAGGGAAGGAAAGGAGGAAAAGGGACGGAAGAAAUGUUCACAGGAACUGCAUAUGGGCCUGCUAUUUGUGUCAAAAUGUGACUGAACUCUCUUCCAGCAGUGUGAAUCCCUGGAAAGCAAGAUCACCAUUCUGGUCUCUUGUGGAUAUCAAUGCUGAUCUCAGCUUCUGAUGCAUGGCAGUCAAUUAAUAAAUGAUUGUUGCCUGAAAAACUGAGCCCCAAAACAAUAUUACAAGUUUAAUAUCAGUAAACGAUUUAAUGCUUUCUAACUUGAAGAUACCAGAAGUUGCUGAGUUUUGUAUAACCCAGAGAUGGAUUUAAAUGCAGAGUGUAUGAACUUCUUCAUUCCUGAGGGAAGACUUAUGAUUUUGUGAGAAAUGCCCCAGGAAAGGGGCCGGGGAGACUGAUGGAGAAGAAGAGUUUGGGAGGGAAGCCCCAAGGACCAUCUGCCCCAUGAGAGUCACACACAGAGGGUCCUGCUCCUGCCUUUGGAAGCUGGCUUCCUGAGCUGCUGAACGUGCCAGUCCUGCUGACCCACUCUCAGAUAUCACAGGCACCCGCUGUGUCUGACAGAGACCUUUCUGCAAGUACACGUGCAGGUCUGCUCUGUAAAGGCGUUAUCAUUUGCAGAUUAUUGCACAGAGUGGCUACGAGCUGUGGUGUGAUCCUGUCACAGAGAGAGCCUGGUCAUGUUUUCAGAACAGCAGGAAACAAGUACACCUGUAAGCUUAUACUUAUCAGAUUUAAAAAUAAAACGAAAAAUCCAUGCUAUUCCAUGAAAAUCAGGCUCCAAUAAACUUAGUCACUAAUUUGUGAAGUAAACAAUCUGAUGGUAAUGCAUCAGUUGACACUUCGGCCUGGGUUUUUAGGCACAAAUGAAAGCCAGGGGCUAAAGAAUUUUUAAUUUACCAUUAUUUCCCUUGAUGGUUCAACAAAGUUCUUGUGCUAGAAAGUUUUAUAAAACUACUUUCUGAGUGUCCUGUGACAUUUCUCUGAUGAUACAAAAAGUCAAUAUUUGAUAGCUUAAAUGUCAAUAUUGACAGAAAUAUUAUUUAAAUAAAAACACAAAUAGUAAAAUAAUUUUAUCUGAUA